rnacentral:rRNA from 1 species
GAUGAACGCUGGCGGCGUGCCUAAUACAUGCAAGUCGAGCGAACGGACGAGAAGCUUGCUUCUCUGAUGUUAGCGGCGGACGGGUGAGUAACACGUGGAUAACCUACCUAUAAGACUGGGAUAACUUCGGGAAACCGGUGCUAAUACCGGAUAAUAUUUUGAACCGCAUGGUUCAAAAGUGAAAGACGGUCUUGCUGUCACUUAUAGAUGGAUCCGCGCUGCAUUAGCUAGUUGGUAAGGUAACGGCUUACCAAGGCAACGAUGCAUAGCCGACCUGAGAGGGUGAUCGGCCACACUGGAACUGAGACACGGUCCAGACUCCUACGGGAGGCAGCAGUAGGGAAUCUUGCGCAAUGGGCGAAAGCCUGACGGAGCAACGCCGCGUGAGUGAUGAAGGUCUUCGGAUCGUAAAACUCUGUUAUUAGGGAAGAACAUAUGUGUAAGUAACUGUGCACAUCUUGACGGUACCUAAUCAGAAAGCCACGGCUAACUACGUG